ensembl:rRNA 5S_rRNA 5S ribosomal RNA
CUCUAUGUCCGUAUUAUCUUGAAUGCACAUCAUCUCAUUUGAUCUUGGAGGCUAAACAGGGUCAGACCUGGUUAAUACUUGAAUAGGAGAAUAAAAAACUCUGACAAAGUAU